GACGAACGCUGGCGGCGUGCUUAACACAUGCAAGUCGAACGAUGAAGCCCAGCUUGCUGGGUGGAUUAGUGGCGAACGGGUGAGUAACACGUGAGUAACCUGCCCUUGACUCUGGGAUAAGCGCUGGAAACGGCGUCUAAUACCGGAUACGACCUGCCCCGGCAUCGGGUGCGGGUGGAAAGUUUUUCGGUCAAGGAUGGACUCGCGGCCUAUCAGGUAGUUGGUGAGGUAAUGGCUCACCAAGCCGACGACGGGUAGCCGGCCUGAGAGGGUGACCGGCCACACUGGGACUGAGACACGGCCCAGACUCCUACGGGAGGCAGCAGUGGGGAAUAUUGCACAAUGGGCGAAAGCCUGAUGCAGCAACGCCGCGUGGGGGAUGACGGCCUUCGGGUUGUAAACCUCUUUUAGUAGGGAAGAAGGGCUUCGGCUUGACGGUACCUGCAGAAAAAGCACCGGCUAACUACGUGCCAGCAGCCGCGGUAAUACGUAGGGUGCAAGCGUUGUCCGGAAUUAUUGGGCGUAAAGAGCUCGUAGGCGGUUUGUCGCGUCUGCUGUGAAAACCCGAGGCUCAACCUCGGGCCUGCAGUGGGUACGGGCAGACUAGAGUGCGGUAUGGGAGAAUGGAAUUCCUGGUGUAGCGGUGGAAUGCGCAGAUAUCAGGAGGAACACCGAUGGCGAAGGCAGUUCUCUGGGCCGUUACUGACGCUGAGGAGCGAAAGCGUGGGGAGCGAACAGGAUUAGAUACCCUGGUAGUCCACGCCGUAAACGUUGGGAACUAGAUGUGGGGACCUUUCCACGGUCUCCGUGUCGCAGCUAACGCAUUAAGUUCCCCGCCUGGGGAGUACGGCCGCAAGGCUAAAACUCAAAGGAAUUGACGGGGGCCCGCACAAGCGGCGGAGCAUGCGGAUUAAUUCGAUGCAACGCGAAGAACCUUACCAAGGCUUGACAUAUACCGGAAACUUCCAGAAAUGGUUGCCCCGCAAGGUCGGUAUACAGGUGGUGCAUGGUUGUCGUCAGCUCGUGUCGUGAGAUGUUGGGUUAAGUCCCGCAACGAGCGCAACCCUCGUUCUAUGUUGCCAGCACGUCAUGGUGGGAACUCAUAGGAGACUGCCGGGGUCAACUCGGAGGAAGGUGGGGAUGACGUCAAAUCAUCAUGCCCCUUAUGUCUUGGGCUUCACGCAUGCUACAAUGGCCGGUACAAAGGGCUGCGAUACCGUAAGGUGGAGCGAAUCCCAAAAAGCCGGUCUCAGUUCGGAUUGAGGUCUGCAACUCGACCUCAUGAAGUCGGAGUCGCUAGUAAUCGCAGAUCAGCAACGCUGCGGUGAAUACGUUCCCGGGCCU
rnacentral:rRNA from 1 species